CCUACGGGAGGCAGCAGUGGGGAAUAUUGCGCAAUGGGCGAAAGCCUGACGCAGCGACGCCGCGUGAGGGAUGAAGGUUCUCGGAUCGUAAACCUCUGUCAGAAGGGAAGAUAUUAUAUCAUGCUAAUCAGUGGUGUAUUGCCGGUACCUUCAAAGGAAGCACCGGCAAACUCCGUUCCAGCAGCCGCGGCAGUCCGGAGGGUGCGAACGUGAAUCGGAAUACAUGGGCGUAAAGCGCACGUAGGCGGUAUGGCAAGUCAUGGGUGAAAUGCCAAGGCUCACCCGUGGCACUGCCUUUGAAACUGUCAAACUGGAGUAUGGGAGAGGUCGGCGGAAUUCCUGGUGUAGGAGGGAAAUCCGUAGAUAUCAGGAGGAACAUCAGUGGCGAAGGCGGCCGCCUAACACAAAACUGACGCUGAGGUGCGAAAGCGUGGGUAGCAAACAGGAUUAGAUACCCUUGUAGUC
rnacentral:rRNA from 1 species